UUCUGUUUUCCCUGCCUCCGGUUGCCAAGGGAACAAGCACAGAGGACCGCAGCCAGGGAGCCGUUAGCGGCCUUUUUAAGGGGCCCUGGACAUAAACAGCACUUCCCAUCAUGGGAGCCGGGCACAGAGGUUUCAAAAAACAAAACAAUGCAGAAGAGGGGGCUAAAGUAGAAAAAAAGAAGUCGGGGGGAAGGGUCCCCCCCCCCACCACCGGGUUAAUGGGAGAGUGAAGGAUGGAAGACAGAUCCCAGAGAGAGGUACAGUCUUCUGGACAAAACCAGCCACCUUCCGGAAAGGUCUGCUGCUCUCCUUGAUGUGCAGAAAAGCAGACACCUGGCCCCCAGCCCUGACGUCUUCACUGAGACCAGAAACCUACCUGGGACUGUGGCUCCCAUGAGCUGUGGGGGCGGGGGUGGAAAUCCUCGGGCUGAAAAGAUGCUUUUCCGGAGGCAGGAGGGGCCAUGCAGACCUAGCCUCGGAGGAAGUGUCUCCUUCCCUUCCGCCCUCACCCCGACGCCAGCACAGGAGUGACGGUUGGCUGCUCUCCACCGGCCUGUACCUCUGUCCACCCAGAAGCCUCUGUCCCACCCACACGCCCCGUUAACCAAGUACUGGCACACGGAUAAAGCGAAUUUCCCUCCAUGAUGAAUAUCUGUUAGUCACUGUUUGUUCUCUGCUCGUCGCUCCUUGUUCCCACGGCAUCAAACGUGUAUCAUCAAACAUC